AUUGAACGCUGGCGGAAUGCUUUACACAUGCAAGUCGAACGGUAGAGGGGGCAACCCCUCGAGAGUGGCGAACGGGUGAGUAAUAUAUCGGAACGUGCCCAGACGUGGGGGAUAACGUAGCGAAAGUUAUGCGAAUACCGCAUACGAUCUAAGGAUGAAAGCGGGGGAUCGCAAGACCUCGCGCGAUGGGAGAGGGCGAUGUCAGAUUAGGUAGUUGGUGGGGUAAAGGCUCACCAAGCCAGCGAUCGGUAGAUGGUCUGAGAGGACGCCCAGCCACACUGGAACUGAGACACGGUCCAGACUCCUACGGGAGGCAGCAGUGGGGAAUUUUGGACAAUGGACGCAAGUCUGAUCCAGCCAUUCCGCGUGCAGGAUGAAGGCCCUCGGGUUGUAAACUGCUUUUGUACGGAACGAAAAGGUCUCUCUUAAUACGGGGGACUCAUGACGGUACCGUAAGAAUAAGCACCGGCUAACUACGUGCCAGCAGCCGCCGCCG
rnacentral:rRNA from 1 species